UACGUAGGGUGCGAGCGUUGUCCGGAAUUACUGGGCGUAAAGAGCUCGUAGGUGGUUUGUCGCGUUGUUCGUGAAAACUCACGGCUUAACUGUGAGCGUGCGGGCGAUACGGGCAGACUGGAGUACUGCAGGGGAGACUGGAAUUCCUGGUGUAGCGGUGGAAUGCGCAGAUAUCUGGAGGAACACCGGUGGCGAAGGCGGGUUGCUGGGCUGACACUGACGCUGAUGUGCGAAAGCUAGGGGAGCGAACGGG
rnacentral:rRNA from 1 species